GACGAACGCUGGCGGCGUGCUUAACACAUGCAAGUCGAACGGAAAGGCCCUGCUUUUGUGGGGUGCUCGAGUGGCGAACGGGUGAGUAACCCGUGAGUAACCUGCCCUUGACUUUGGGAUAACUUCAGGAAACUGGGGCUAAUACCGGAUAGGAGCUCCUGCUGCAUGGUGGGGGUGGGAAAGUUUCGGCGGUUGGGGAUGGACUCGCGGCUUAUCAGCUUGUUGGUGGGGUAGUGGCUUACCAAGGCUUUGACGGGUAGCCGGCCUGAGAGGGUGACCGGCCACAUUGGGACUGAGAUACGGCCCAGACUCCUACGGGAGGCAGCAGUGGGGAAUAUUGCACAAUGGGCGGAAGCCUGAUGCAGCAACGCCGCGUGCGGGAUGACGGCCUUCGGGUUGUAAACCGCUUUCGCCUGUGACGAAGCGUGAGUGACGGUAAUGGGUAAAGAAGCACCGGCUAACUACGUG
rnacentral:rRNA from 1 species